rnacentral:rRNA from 1 species
AUUGAACGCUGGCGGCAGGCUUAACACAUGCAAGUCGAACGAGUGGCGGACGGGUGAGUAAUGCUUGGGAAUCUAGCUUAUGGAGGGGGAUAACUACGGGAAACUGUAGCUAAUACCGCGUACCAUAGGAUGAGCCCAAGUGGGAUUAGGUAGUUGGUGAGGUAAAGGCUCACCAAGGCGACGAUCUCUAGCUGGUCUGAGAGGAUGACCAGCCACACUGGGACUGAGACACGGCCCAGACGCCUACGGGAGGCAGCAGUGGGGAAUAUUGCGCAAUGGGGGAAACCUGACGCAGCAAUGCCGCGUGAAUGAAGAAGGCCUUCGGGUUGUAAAGUUCUUUCGGUAGCGAGGCGUUAACUACAGAAGAAGCACCGGCUAACUACGUGCCAGCAGCCGCGGUAAUAC